GCUCUGGGGGCGCAAAGGUUAAGCGCUCGGCUGCUGACUGAAAGGCUGGUGGUUCAAAUCCAUCCGAUGGCU
rnacentral:tRNA from 1 species